GGUUAAGCGAACAAGCGUACACGGUGGAUGCCCUGGCAGUCAGAGGCGAUGAAGGACGUGCUAAUCUGCGAAAAGCGCCGGUAAGGUGAUAUGAACCGUUAUAACCGGCGAUGUCCGAAUGGGGAAACCCGGUGCACUUCGGUGCAUCAUCGUUAGCUGAAUACAUAGGCUAACGAGGCGAACCGGGGGAACUGAAACAUCUAAGUACCCCGAGGAAAAGAAAUCAACCGAGAUUCCCCCAGUAGCGGCGAGCGAACGGGGAAGAGCCCAGAGCCUGAAUCAGCUUGUGUGUCAGUGGAACGGUCUGGAAAGGCCGGCGAUACAGGGUGACAGCCCCGUACACGAAGGCACACAGGCUGUGAGCUCGAUGAGUAGGGCGGGACACGUGAUAUCCUGUCUGAAGAUGGGGGGACCAUCCUCCAAGGCUAAAUACUCCUGACUGACCGAUAGUGAACCAGUACCGUGAGGGAAAGGCGAAAAGAACCCCGGCGAGGGGAGUGAAACAGAACCUGAAACCGUGUACGUACAAGCAGUGGGAGCCUUCGUAAGAGGGUGACUGCGUACCUUUUGUAUAAUGGGUCAGCGACUUAUAUUCUGUAGCAAGGUUAACCGUAUAGGGGAGCCGAAGGGAAACCGAGUCUUAACCGGGCGUUAAGUUGCAGGGUAUAGACCCGAAACCCGGUGAUCUAGCCAUGGGCAGGUUGAAGGUUGGGUAACACUAACUGGAGGACCGAACCGACUAAUGUUGAAAAAUUAGCGGAUGACCUGUGGCUGGGGGUGAAAGGCCAAUCAAACCGGGAGAUAGCUGGUUCUCCCCGAAAGCUAUUUAGGUAGCGCCUCGUGAACUCAUCUCCGGGGGUAGAGCACUGUUUCGGCUAGGGGGCCAUCCCGGCUUACCAACCCGAUGCAAACUGCGAAUACCGGAGAAUGUUAUCACGGGAGACACACGGCGGGUGCUAACGUCCGUCGUGAAGAGGGAAACAACCCAGACCGCCAGCUAAGGUCCCAAAGUCAUGGUUAAGUGGGAAACGAUGUGGGAAGGCCCAGACAGCCAGGAUGUUGGCUUAGAAGCAGCCAUCAUUUAAAGAAAGCGUAAUAGCUCACUGGUCGAGUCGGCCUGCGCGGAAGAUGUAACGGGGCUAAACCAUGCACCGAAGCUGCGGCAGCGACACUAUGUGUUGUUGGGUAGGGGAGCGUUCUGUAAGCCUGUGAAGGUGUGCUGUGAGGCAUGCUGGAGGUAUCAGAAGUGCGAAUGCUGACAUAAGUAACGAUAAAGCGGGUGAAAAGCCCGCUCGCCGGAAGACCAAGGGUUCCUGUCCAACGUUAAUCGGGGCAGGGUGAGUCGACCCCUAAGGCGAGGCCGAAAGGCGUAGUCGAUGGGAAACAGGUUAAUAUUCCUGUACUUGGUGUUACUGCGAAGGGGGGACGGAGAAGGCUAUGUCGGCCGGGCGACGGUUGUCCCGGUUUAAGCGUGUAGGCUGACUUUCCAGGCAAAUCCGGAAGGUUAAGGCUGAGGCGUGAUGACGAGGCACCACGGUGCUGAAGUGACAAAUGCCCUGCUUCCAGGAAAAGCCUCUAAGCAUCAGGUAACAUCAAAUCGUACCCCAAACCGACACAGGUGGUCAGGUAGAGAAUACCAAGGCGCUUGAGAGAACUCGGGUGAAGGAACUAGGCAAAAUGGUGCCGUAACUUCGGGAGAAGGCACGCUGACAUGUAGGUGAAGCCCCUGCGGGUGGAGCUGAAGUCAGUCGAAGAUACCAGCUGGCUGCAACUGUUUAUUAAAAACACAGCACUGUGCAAACACGAAAGUGGACGUAUACGGUGUGACGCCUGCCCGGUGCCGGAAGGUUAAUUGAUGGGGUUAUCGCAAGAGAAGCUCCUGAUCGAAGCCCCGGUAAACGGCGGCCGUAACUAUAACGGUCCUAAGGUAGCGAAAUUCCUUGUCGGGUAAGUUCCGACCUGCACGAAUGGCGUAAUGAUGGCCAGGCUGUCUCCACCCGAGACUCAGUGAAAUUGAACUCGCUGUGAAGAUGCAGUGUACCCGCGGCAAGACGGAAAGACCCCGUGAACCUUUACUACAGCUUGACACUGAACAUUGAGCCUUGAUGUGUAGGAUAGGUGGGAGGCUUUGAAGCGUGGACGCCAGUCUGCGUGGAGCCGACCUUGAAAUACCACCCUUUAAUGUUUGAUGUUCUAACCUGGCGCCGUGAUCCGGCGUGGGGACAGUGUCUGGUGGGUAGUUUGACUGGGGCGGUCUCCUCCCAAAGUGUAACGGAGGAGCACGAAGGUCAGCUAAUCCUGGUCGGACAUCAGGAGGUUAGUGCAAUGGCAUAAGCUGGCUUGACUGCGAGAGUGACGGCUCGAGCAGGUGCGAAAGCAGGUCAUAGUGAUCCGGUGGUUCUGUAUGGAAGGGCCAUCGCUCAACGGAUAAAAGGUACUCCGGGGAUAACAGGCUGAUACCGCCCAAGAGUUCAUAUCGACGGCGGUGUUUGGCACCUCGAUGUCGGCUCAUCACAUCCUGGGGCUGAAGUAGGUCCCAAGGGUAUGGCUGUUCGCCAUUUAAAGUGGUACGCGAGCUGGGUUUAGAACGUCGUGAGACAGUUCGGUCCCUAUCUGCCGUGGGCGCUGGAGAAUUGAGGGGGGCUGCUCCCAGUACGAGAGGACCGGAGUGGACGCAUCACUGGUGUUCGGGUUGUCAUGCCAAUGGCACUGCCCGGUAGCUAAAUGCGGAAGAGAUAAGUGCUGAAAGCAUCUAAGCACGAAACUUGCCCCGAGAUGAGUUCUCCCUGAGACUGUAAGUCUCCUGAAGGAACGUUGAAGACGACGACGUUGAUAGGCCGGGUGUGUAAGCGCAGCGAUGCGUUGAGCUAACCGGUACUAAUGAACCGUGAGGCUUAACCUU
rnacentral:rRNA from 1 species